UCAUAUUUGGGGCCAGGAAGGACUUUAACUCUGUGGUCAGACUGGGGCACGACCUCUCCCCCAGGGCCAGACACAGGCAUGGGUCAACUGGGCAGCCGCCCAGGGCCCGGAGAGAAAGGAGGCCCCAAAAUGAAAAAGCAGAGGCUGCUGCAUCUCCUGACUGACAGAGGACUGCUUCUCCUGUUUUAGAAGAGGAUGAUGGCCCUGGAAGUACAGAACUUUUUCGUUUUCCUACACUGGAGGGUGCCUGAGAUCGUGAAGUGCUACUACACCUCUUUGUUGAAGCUGGUGUUUUACUGAGGCGCCCAGGACGAACAAAUACACCAUGCCGGGGCUUGCAAUGGAAGUAUUCUCUGCCUUUUACAGUUCCAUCAUGUUUACCUUCAAUAAAAAGAAAAAUUAAUGGAAUUAAUAAUAUAUGAUACCUAGCCAUCACAUACAAUUAAAAUACUCAUACAUGUAAAUGUCUUCAAAUAUUUGUUGCCGAGUACUUGAGCUUAAAGCUGUCACAGCAGAAGUACCUGAUAUCUCUUCUGAAUUUCAUUUGGACAGCGACAAUCCAUAAGAAAAGAGUCAAGGAUGUGAUCCUUUCAGGCAGUACCAUCAAAAGUAGCAAGUGAGGACUAUCUUGCCCAAAAUAAUGUAGGAAAAGCAGCAGUUUUUCCAUACUGAGGAUGCACACAACACUCCACUAAAACACACGUUUCUAACAUCAUUUUUCUUUUUAAAAAGUGUCUCUGAAUAUUAAAAAUACUCACUUUCUGAAAAUAUUAAGGAUGAACUCCAAAUAGAAAGGAAAAAGUUUUAAGAAUUUGUUUAAACUUUGAGCUUAAAAAAGCUUGACAUUACUAAUAUUUCUUUGUACCUCUACUAAAAUCACAAAAGAUUUCAAAAUCCACAAUUUUUUUAUACUGGUUUGUGUACGUUUUCAAACGCAGAAAUAGCAUUUCUUUGUUUACAAAACAAGCCACACAUCUUCAUCAUGUAUAGGAACAAAAAAAUUCCAACACCAUUUUAGUUCACGUACAACACUUGUCUUUUGAACCAACGUAUACAACUUUAUGCAACCUCCCCCCCCCC